rnacentral:lncRNA from 10 species
UCCAUCUUUAAUUUUCCAGGAGCCAUUUCCUCAUCAUAAAGAUGCAGUAGCCAUAAUUAUUCCAAUCAUCCAAAAGAGAAGACUUUAAAGUACAGUAGUUAGCCAUCAAAAAGAGAAGGCUAAUAUCCAGUUAUGAGAGCAUUUUCCCAAGAUUUACUUGUCCUUUUUUAUGGUGAGACAUUUAAAAUUUAUACUGUUAUUAUUUUGAAAUACUGUAUACAAGACAUUCUUCUUGACUAUAGUCAUCCCGCUAUGCAAUAGAUCUCAAGGCCCAUUUCUCCUGCCUAUCUGAAACUAUGUAACUCAUUUUCCUUCUGUUUUUGCAGAUACUUCUCCCCUGGACCUUGUUCCCAGGCUCCGUGUGAAGCUGAACACUCCGCAUGAUCUCCCUGCCACCAUAGCAAGCUAUGAAGUUCAUUACACAUGCAGGUAGCAGACAAUACAGCUCUGCUUCCAUUUCUGAGCACCUACGGUAGACUGCCAUUAUUCAGUGUGCCAGCCUGUUUCCAAGCCUACAAUGUAUAGUUCCUCUAGUACGUAAACUCAUUUUUUUUCUCAGAGAGCCAAGUAGAGACACAGGCAGUUUUCUUCUCAAAAUGUGCCAGAAAUUCCAAAACAAUCUCAAAGCAUUAAAGGCUAUGUGCACAAAGUACAUGCAGUUGUAGAGUCCCUCUUUUGCAGAAACUUGCACCUCAGCCCACCAGCAUUUCCUUGGUGCUUCUCCUCCUGACCCUCAUCCUCAUGCACAGACCAUUGGAUAUUACUGCACUCACGUACUUGUGUACUUCUUUCUAACAGCUGACUGAAAUCUUUCCUACAUUUUCAGGGUGAUGGGCAGAAAGUUUUUCUCAGGAAACAUUGUAGGGAAGCUGGCAGGGGACAGUUAUAUAUAUGGGGAGGGUCACAUUCUAUUAUUCAUGGGUUUCCGUGGUCACAGGGAGUCAGGGCCAGUUGGAAAUGGAAAGGAAAAAGUUCAUGUUAACACAGCUGAGGGCAAGGCUAUGCCGUAAAGACCUGAGAUGCUCCAGGAAAAGGUUCAGGAUGCUUCCUUUUUGUCUUUCGAUGAAACCAAAAUCUACCAUUUCUGUUUGAGAGUUUUGGGAAAGAGAUGGCAGGUGAGGAGGUUAGGGCAUAGAUGUGUGAAUACUGCCACUAUGAACCCCAAAGCACAUUUGCCAUGAUUGGUCUAAAAAUAAGAUAAUAAUCCAAAUGUAGCUAAAUAUAGUCUACUAUCUAGUUUCUCUCUUUUACGGUCUUUGGCUACCAGUGAUCCUUUUUGCCUAUGCCUUGGGGGACUUGGGAAGGACAAAGAAGAGAAAAGAAUCAGUGUAACAUUUAAACAACAGUGCAACCGUGCUGUGAGAGCCAUCUCAACCUGAUGUCCUAAGUAGCCAGUGUUUCCUUCGCAACACAACAAUGGUAAACAAAGAUGUUUUCUGGAUGGCUGAAGCAAAUGUGAUUUUUAUGCUCAGACCAUCCCUCUGCCCUUAAGCCCCUACCAUGGGUUAAAAAAUUUUUUUUUUCUUUUUUCUUUUUGCUAUGAAUUUUCUACAUGGAAAUAGGUGAAGUGAGACAUUAUUUUCUUCUUCUGUUUAUUUUUUGUUACCCAAUUUCAAAAUGCUGGAAAUUUUGUUGAAACACCACUCACUGCAGAGAAUAUAAGCUUGCAUAAUGAAUUCUAAAAUCCCCCUGUUGUGUGGCAUUGCUAAGAAUGCAUGAGGGGAAAUUCUGUUGUGUGAAAUCCCAGGGUUAUGACAAGUUUGACAAGAUGAGCUUGAUUGACCUUACCACAUGUGGUUACACAGACCAAUCUACCAUCGAGGUUCUCAAAAACAGAUAAGGCACAUGAGGAAUGGCCCUCUUGAGAAGAACGCUGAUUUGUUGUAACCUG